rnacentral:rRNA from 1 species
CCUACGGGGGGCAGCAGUCGAGAAUUAUUCACAAUGGGGGAAACCCUGAUGGUGCGACGCCGCGUGGGGGAAUGAAGGUCUUCGGAUUGUAAACCCCUGUCAUGUGGGAGCAAAUUAAAAAGAUAGUACCACAAGAGGAAGAGACGGCUAACUCUGUGCCAGCAGCCGCGGUAAUACAGAGGUCUCAAGCGUUGUUCGGAAUGACUGGGCGUAAGGCGUGCGGAGGCUGUUUCGUAAGUCGUGUGUGAAAGGCGCGGGCUCAACCCGCGGACGGCACAUGAUACUGGGAGACUAGAGUAAUGGAGAGGGGAGCGGAAUUCGCGGUGUAGCAGUGAAAUGCGUAGAUAUCGAGAGGAACACUCGUGGCGAAGGCGGGUUCCUGGACAUUAACUGACGCUGAGGCACGAAGGCCAGGGGAGCGAAAGGGAUUAGAUACCCCUGUAGUC